CAACAAACAUGGGAAGUAAGGAUUAUUAAUUCUAUUGCACAGAUAAGGAAACUAAAGUUGAGAGGUUAUCUUGCCCAAGAUUGUAAGGUUCAUAAGUGACAAAGAUAAUUUGAACUCAGUUCUCUCGGGUUCCAAAAGCCAUGUCUUUAAUCACUAUGAUGCUAAACUGCUUUCACUAAAAUUGUUUGUUUUCUUUACUCUCCUUCCAAUAAUGAAAGAAUUGUCCAAACUCAGUAUUUAUCAGCACAUGGUGUGAGUGGCUGGCCUUGGUUCUGCUGUCUGCCCAGCAUCCCACACAGUGACCAUAAUAUCUGUUGUGAUUGCUGUGACUGGUUGACAGUGGGGCUCAUGGGGAGCAGUCAGACAGCAACUUUUUUUUUUUAUCUCCACUGUAUCCCUCAAAUGUAUUCUGUGAAGGAAUUUCCCCUGCCCCUGGAUGAAAACUUAGAUAGUUCCAAGACUUUUGUGAUCACAGUUAGAUAAUUUUAAAAAAUCAUAGUGUCUUUUAAAGUCACCAAACUCAGUCUCAAUUAAAAAUGCCCUGUCAUGUAAUAACUGAAAUGCUAAACUUAAUUUAAAGUCAAAUAUUCUCCCCUCCCCCAGCUACUAUACACACAUACCAGAAACUCUAAUAUGACUCCCAGAGAGGCAUGCCCCUAUUUUCUCAGAUAAGAAUCAAUCAUUAAACGAAAGAUUUGAUCCUUACAUUUUUAUGAUCUUCAUGCUUGCAGACCAUGAAAUCAUUUUAUAACUCUCCUGUUAUCUACAAGAACAUGUUUUAUAGCUAUUUUUAUUACUUUACAAUUUCAAGUCUUCUUGGUUCUCUUUCAUUCUUUUUGCAAACAUUCUCAGAGUACAAGCGGCACUGUCUUGGACACCCAAAUUGUACAGGUAAAUUAAAGCAAUGUAGUGGAGUGGCCAGCAGAUGGAGACAAAGUACACAAAAUCAUUCAGGCUCAGGGGCAGCAGCACCUGGAUCUCAGGUUGCUCUCAUUCGAACCCGGUUCUCAAACCUGGCUGCACAUUGGAAUCACCUGGGGAACAUUAAAGACUACAGAUGCACCAGCUGACGCCCAGAUUCUGCCUUAGGUGGUCUGAGGCGUGGUCUGAGAGCACUGGGAGACUUAAAAGCCUCACAAGUGAAUCUAAUUACAGUCAAGUUUGAGCUCCACUAUUUUAGAAAAUGAAACAACAGGUCACAGGAUGGUGUGUUUCAGAAUCACCUGGAAAACUUGUGGAAAACUGUAGACCCAAGAUGUUGUAGUCUUCAAUUGUUUGAAAACCAGUGCAUCCUGAAAUGAUGCCAGUGGUCUGGAUUGCCUUUGCCAAGAAGACAGCAAGACAGUGAAGAAUGAUUGCAAAUUGUUUGUUUUGUUUUAUUUUCAAAAAGAAGGACAAUACAAGUUUCCUUGACAGGGUCCCUAUGGAGAGGUGUUACCAUUUACUGAGAACCCUCCAGGUGCCAGGCACCUGUUGGCUCAGCUCGUUUUCACAACCGGAAGAGUUUUUUUCAAAUGUCAGACACAGAAAGACAUGGUACCCAAGGAUGCAGGAAUCUUCCAGCUGUGAGGGAGAGCCAAGAAGCCAGAACAUUCUGCUCAAGAGGAGAUUACAGCAGGGCCAUCACAGGAGGUUGUCCAAGUUGCUCACUGCACAAGGAGCUCAGCUGAAAGAGGCAGGGGGCGGUAUUGCUCGGGGCUUCCUUAGCAGAUGCCUGACUUCAGAGCUCUGGAACUGUACUGGCCGCAGUGAGGAGAUGGCUGCACCCACAACCAACUGCUGCACGCAACUCCAACGUGACAGGGAAGGGCCUUUUACUCAAUAUUAAAACAGUAAAAGCAAUCCCUCCAGAGAGGCCUGCACAUCAUGUUUCAAUUCCAUCAUUUUGGGAUUUAGAGUGGGGGUCACAGUUAGGAUCAAUAGAGGGAGGCGUGUGGGAUGGGGGGUGUGGUGGGUGGCAGAUCCUCGAAAACCUGCCCACAGCUCUGACUUCCCUGGGCUUCCACUCAGUGGCUCGGGCUAUAGGAACAACCCCCUCACUGCCCGGCUCCGUGUCUACCCUCCUACGACCUGCCAUCACCCCCCCACACACACACUUCUCCCGCACACUCAGUCAAUGGGCCUUGGCUGGCUUGGCGCCCUCUUAGCUUUCUAAAGGGCUGGCUGUUGCACAGACAGUUUUCUAAGACAAGUAAAUAUGCCGGGAGAGAACAGGAGAGUCCUUGGCACAUGUUCCUACUCUGGACCAGGAAUCAUAGGAAAUCUGAGAUUUCCAGCUUCUGCACCAAGCUGCAGACCCAGGCAUCUUCCAAGUAAUGUCCUGUGCCACAGUUCAGUGCCACCCCACCGAAGCCUGAACUAUCUUGUCUGCUGUCCAGUUAUAAAUUAAUCUCUCAUCAUCACUGAUUAACUUCUUCAAGCCACAGGAGUUGCUGAACCAAAACAGCCCCUUGGGGUGAAAGACUCUCCAGCGCUGUGUGCUGCAUAUAUCUAGCCCUUGUGCUGUGUCAGCAGGGGUGCGGGUGCAGCCAGGCCAGGGGUCCUGCUCAGGGCACUGUGCUCUGGAAUGUUCUCUGGGUUCCUCGAGGUGGGGAUCCGCACUGCAAAGGUCUAGGGCUGUUUGGAGGAUUUGUUUUCUUUGCUGUGUUUGUCUGCCAGGAAGAUUUUGAAAACCUCCUGGGGUGGGGUGGAGCUUAUUCUCUGGGGCCUGUGUCACCCGAAUACAACAGCGUGGGUAUGUGAAUUAUAUUCUGAUAAAUAGAAAUAAGUAAAUACUAACUAAUGUGUGCCUUCAAAGGAGCCCAGUGUAUUAGGGGAGAUGACUGCAGUCUGGGCCUCUCCCCUGUGGGAGAAAGGGGAGCCAAACUUUGGAAUUCACUAGGGAUCAAGGGGACUGGGAGUCACCACUUAGAGCAUAAAUCCAUCCCACUGGGCAAAGGCCUCAGAGGUCAUCUGUUCCAACUUCCUACCUCUACAGGGGUCAAGAAAGGGAACUUGACUCACCCAAGGUCACACCGUAGACCCAAUGGGGAGAAAGGGAACAAAUAUCAAGUCAUUUUUACACGUCAGAUAGACUUCUUUCUUCAGUUGCAUGAAGAUAUGCCCCUUGCAAGUUUCUUUGGAUAAAAGACCCAGGGAAUCCUUUCACCCACCACUUCUACCAUAAGAGGGCCUCAAAAUGAGGUCUCUCUGAUUUUUCCCAAUAACCCUGGCAUAUUUGGUCUCACUUCCUGGUUCCAGGGCACCUCGCAGCAAUUUAAAACUAGCACCUUCCUUCGACUCUGUGGCCUUCCCCCCAAAACCCAUAAACCAAGUGUAGCUGUAGAAAAACCCAAAUUGCAUGACAGUCUCCAAAAUACCAAGCCAGUACUUCUCAAAACUUUCAAGGUCAUCAAAAACAAAAUUGAGACACUGUCGCAGACCAGAGAAGGCUAAGGAGACAGGAGGGCUACAUGUAAUGUGACAUGGAGUCCUGGAGCAGGAAAAGGACCGGAGGAAACUAGUGAAAUCUGAAUAAAGUGUGGAGUCAAUUGUCACGCACUGGGUCCUUAGUUACGACAAAUGCUACAUAGUAAUACAGUAUCUUAACAAGAGAGAAAACAGCACAAGGGCUAUGUGGAAAUGCUCCAGACUAUCUUUGCAACUUUUCUGUAAAGCGAAAAUUAUUUUCAAAUAAAACAUUCAUUUAAAACUUUAAAAAA